rnacentral:rRNA from 1 species
GAGAAGACCCCAUGGAGCUUUAAACCCGACAGCACCCACUUAUUUAACACCUUCUUAUCCGCCUGGCCCCUGUCUGCUCGGUUUUGGGUUGGGGUGACCGCGGAGCAUAAAAUAGCCUCCACGAAAGAAGGGAUGAUUCCCUCAUUUUAGAACUACACUUCCAAAGACUAACAAAUUAAUUUUAAGUGAUCCGAUACCCGUAUUCGAUCAACGAACCAAGUUACCCUGGGGAUAACAGCGCAAUCUACCUCAAGAGCCCCUAUCGACAGGUGGGUUUACGACCUCGAUGUUGGAUCAGGGUAUCCCAGUGGUGCAGCAGCUACCAAAGGUUCGUUUGUUCAACGAUUAAAACCCU